rnacentral:rRNA from 1 species
UUCCGGUUGAUCCUGCCGGAAGCCACUGCUGUUGGGGUUCGGCUAAGCCAUGCGAGUGGAGGGCGCGGUCGAAAGAUCGUGGCCCCGCACACGGCUCAGUAACACGUAGUCAACCUAACCUAGGGGCGGGUAUAACCUCGGGAAACUGAGGCUAAUCCCCGAUAGACGGGAAACGCUGGAAUGCCUUCCCGUCCAAAGCUCAGGCGCCCUAGGAUGGGACUGCGGCCCAUCAGGCUGUUGGUGGUGUGACGGACCACCAAACCUACAACGGGUAUGGGCGAUGGGAGUCGGAGCCCAGAGAUGGGGACUGAGACAAGGCCCCAGGUCCUACGGGGCGCAGCAGGCGCGAAAACUCCGCAAUGCGCGAAAGCGUGACGGGGGAACCCCAAGUGCUGUUGAUCUUUUGGUCGAUGGCUUUUCGGAAGUCUAAAAAGCUUCCGGAAUAAGGGCUGGGUAAGUCUGGUGCCAGCCGCCGCGGUAAUACCAGCAGCCCAAGUGGUGGUCGCGAUUAUUGGGCCUAAAGCGCUCGUAGCCGGGCCGGUAAGUCCCUUGUGAAAUCGGACGGCCUAACCGUUCGGCGUGCAAGGGAUACUGUCGGUCUUGAGGCCGGGAGACGUCCGAGGUACUCCGGGGGUAGCGGUGAAAUGUUCUGAUCCUCGGGGGACCACCGGUGGCGAAGGCGUUCGACGAGAACGGGCCUGACGGUGAGGGGCGAAGGCUAGGGGAGCAAACGGGAUUAGAUACCCCGGUAGUCCUAGCUGUAAAGCAUGCGGGCCAGGUGUAUGGCGCUCCUAGAGGGCGCCGUGUGCCGGAGGGAAGCCGUUAAGCCCGCCGCCUGGGAAGUACGGCCGCAAGGCUGAAACUUAAAGAAAUUGGCGGGGGAGCACCACAAGGGGUGGAACCCGCGGUUCAAUUGGAGUCAACGCCGGG